CAACAACUUCAAGGCGUCCGCGUCCGGGACAGCUUCUGAGGCAGCCGCCGCCAUGGACCAUCACGAGCAGACUUGCAGAUGUAGAUGAUGAGCUGGUUUGCUCUCCCGAGUACUUGGACGCCCUCGGGUCGCUGCUGCGGGCGCACAGUGGCCAGAUACGCUUCGUGAUGCUGCAAUUUGAAGCACUGCUCCCCCUCGUCGACGCGUGCCCCAGCGUCCUCCACCGUCUGCACAUGGACUUACUUGAUGGUAAGGGCGAGGUCGAGGUGCUGAGACGAUUGCGCGGGUUGAAGGAGCUCAAUAUCACCCUACGCGGCCGUGGUCGCUUCGAAGUCUAUGUUAAGGUAGAGAACUUGUUGAGGUCGCGGUCGGGCUCACUCGAACAUCUCGAGCUCAUUGGAGUCCGCCCUGAGACGGUACGCGUCCUGGGCGAGAGCGGGCUCAAGAGCCUCCAGUGCCUAGUUCUAGACCCCGAUUUUGUCUUGGAUAUAGCGUGUCGGAGAAGCUGCCGGUGGCGCUCGGUUCUCUGCCGCGUUUGCGCACCUUGGUCUUGAAGCUGAACAACACUAGUGGGAAGAGGCGACUCUCGGAGGAGCGGGUGGUGCGGGAGCUGGUGCGCCUCGCCCGGGCGCUGCACGUGGUGUACGUGCGCGGCCAACUAGAGGGCCUCACCGUGUACUUCAGGCACUCCGAGGCGGAGCGCGGCGGGUGCCCGCAGUGCGCCGAGGCUGUCGCAUCCGCGCGCCGCUACCUGCUUCGGCAGUCCAUUAGGUGGACUGAGGGCGAUUACAAUGCGUGCGCGCGCACCAACUUGGCCGUACAAUAUGUACAUGUGUAAUAUGUGCCUUGAUGGCAUUGAUGGUGAUUUAAAACCCGAGGGUGCAGCACAAAGUGUGCAAGAACGAAUGUAAAGUG